UCUGGUAAAAAUGAUGACUGAUCUUUUUUCCCCUGCAGAUCGACACUGUUGACCUCCUAUAAUAUAAAUAAGCCAAAUGAUCUGAUCAACCAGA